rnacentral:rRNA from 1 species
GAUGAACGCUGGCGGCGUGCCUAAUACAUGCAAGUCGAGCGAACAGACGAGGAGCUUGCUCCUCUGACGUUAGCGGCGGACGGGUGAGUAACACGUGGAUAACCUACCUAUAAGACUGGGAUAACUUCGGGAAACCGGAGCUAAUACCGGAGAAUAUAUUGAACCGCAUGGUUCAAUAGUGAAAGACGGUUUUGCUGUCACUUAUAGAUGGAUCCGCGCCGCAUUAGCCAGUUGGUAAGGUAACGGCUUACCAAGGCAACGAUGCGUAGCCGACCUGAGAGGGUGAUAGGCGACACUGGAACUGAGACACGGUCCAGGCUCCUACGGGAGGCAGCAGUAGGGAAUCUUCCGCAAUGGGGGAAAGCAUGACGGAGCAACGCCGCGUGAGUGAUGAAGGUCUUCGGAUCGUAAAACUCUGUUAUUAGGGAAGAACAAAUGUGUAAGUAACUAUGCACGUCUUGACGGUACCUAAUCAGAAAGCCACGGCUAACUACGUG